AGGUUACAGAGAGCCGAGAUUGCACCACUGCACUCCAGCCUGAAACAGAGUGAGACUCCAUCUCAAAACAAAAGCAAACAAACAAAAAAACCCAUACAAGCAUUUCUGGGAAGCUGUGGGAAAAAAUAAGAGAUUCACAAUGUCUUCCAGAAUUUUGGCUGAGAGGUGAUGGUAUUAUAUCCCCUGUACCUCACUAUACAUUUUCUGGGAACAGAGCAGUUUUACAGAUGGUUUGGAGCUUGGGCUUAUUCCCAGCUCCUGGCAGACAGCAGUAACUUCCCCAAAUCUCCUGUCUAUAAAGUGGGCAUAACAUGUCUUUCCUCCUAGAGUUACUGUGAGGAUCAAAUGAGACAAUGUGUCCUCUAAAUGCUUGGCCACAGGGUUAGGUCAGUAAUAGUCAUCUUCAUCAGAGUGAAAAGGAAUAAACUAGUGAUUGUGCAACAACUUGGAUGAACCCCGGAGACAUGAUGCUGAGUGAGGGAAGCCAACCUCAAAUCUCAAAUGGUCACAUGCUGUGUGAUUCCAUUUAUUUGACGUUCUGGAAAAGACAAAGAUUUUGCCUGCCUGAGUUCCUCUAAUAGUGGCCACAAUUGCCAGAGAAGAUAGAGCAGGUCCCUCCCAGGACUUGCAACUCCAGCCUGUGUCUGCAGGGGGUGCUGUAGGGACUGAUUUCUCCAGCCCAUGGCACGAGGCCUUCAUCUUGUGCCUGGAAAGAGGGAAGUCCAAGUCUGUCUGGCAGAGAUGGUGCAGAUGGGCAAGUUUUUCAGACACUGCAGCCAGCACUCCUGGGACCGCAGCAGUGGAGGCUGCAGAGGGCCAGUUCCCCAGGCGUGGGCUAUUGACACUGUCACUUAUAGACUCCUCAUGCGAUAAACAACCCCUAAACAGAUUUAUCCACAGUCUCUCCAUCCUAACAAGUCAGUGAUCAGUUUUCACUUUUCCACGUUCCCUUCUGUCUCCAUUAUGUUCCCAUAGUGGGGCAGCUUCUACCUGCAUGGUUGAGCCCACACCCGGCUAAUUUUUCUAUUUUUUUUUAUAGACAGUGUCUCCCUUUGUUGCCCAGGCUGAUCUCUCCUGGGCUCAAGCGAUCCUCCUGCCUCAACCUCCCAGUAUUGGGAUUACUGGUGUGAGCCACCAUGGAGCUUGUCCUGGAGAACGUCUCACCUGGAUUCAUCUGAGUGUUGCCUUCUGGGGGUGACAUUUCAUUUGUUCCUCUGUAUCCUGCAUCCUCUGUAAAUUGGAGAGUCAUUCUAAAGUUUUGAUAAGAUCAAGUUAAGUAUUUUGGCAAGAAAGCAUCAUAGAUGAUGACGCUGUGCACAUCAGGUGACAUCACAUUUUAUAUUUAAUGGACAAAUAAAAGUUGUAUAUAUUUAUGGUGUACAACACGAUGUUUUGAAAUAUGUGUAUGUUGUGGAAUGGCUAACU